rnacentral:rRNA from 1 species
CCUACGGGAGGCAGCAGUGAGGAAUAUUGGUCAAUGGACGAGAGUCUGAACCAGCCAAGUAGCGUGAAGGAUGACUGCCCUAUGGGUUGUAAACUUCUUUUAUAAAGGAAUAAAACGAGGCACGUGUGCCUUUUUGCAUGUACUUUAUGAAUAAGGAUCUGCUAACUCCGUGCCAGCAGCCGCUGUAAUACGGAGGAUCCGGGCGUUAUCCGGAUUUAUUUGGUUUAAUGGGAGCGUAGAUGGGUUGUUAAGUCAGUUGUGAAAGUUUGCGGCUCAACCGUAAAAUUGCAAUUGGGACUGGCAGUCUUGAGUACAGUUGAGGUAGGCGGAAUUCGUGGUGUAGCGGUGAAAUGCUUAGAUAUCACGAAGAACCCCGAUUGCGAAGGCAGCUUACUAAACUGUGACUGACAUUGAUGCUCGAAAGUGUGGGUAUCAAACAGGAUUAGAUACCCCAGUAGUC